rnacentral:rRNA from 1 species
AUCAACUUUCGAUGGUAGGAUAGAGGCCUACCAUGGUGGUAACGGGUAACGGGGUGUUAGGGCACGACACCGGAGAGGGAGCCUGAGAAACGGCUACCACAUCCAAGGAUGGCAGCAGGCGCGCAAAUUACCCAAUCCCGACACGGGGAGGUAGUGACAAUAAAUAACAAUACGGGGUUCUUUCGGAUCUCGUAAUUGGAAUGAGUACAAUUUAAAUCUCUUAACGAGGAACAAUUGGAGGGCAAGUCUGGUGCCAGCAGCCGCGGUAAUUCCAGCUCCAAUAGCGUAUAUUAAAGUUGUUGCAGUUAAAAAGCUCGUAGUUGAAUUUCGGGGUUAGUAGGUUGGUCAUGCCUCUGGUAUGUACUGGUCUCACUGAUUCCUCCUUCCUGAUGAACCGUAAUGCCAUUAAUUUGGUGUUGCGGGGAAUUUGGACUGUUACUUUGAAAAAAUUAGAGUGUUUAAAGCAAGCUAACGCUUGAAUACAUUAGCAUGGAAUAAUGAAAUAGGGCGUUCGAUCCUAUUUUGUUGGUUUCUAGGAUUGACGUAAUGAUUAAUAGGGAUAGUUGGGGGCAUUAGUAUUCAAUUGUCAGAGGUGAAAUUCUUGGAUUUAUUGAAGACUAACUACUGCGAAAGCAUUUGCCAAGGAUGUUUUCAUUAAUCAAGAACGAAAGUUAGGGGAUCGAAGACGAUCAGAUACCGUCGUAGUCUUAGCCAUAAACUAUGCCGACUAGGGAUCGGAUGAUGUUAAUUUUUUAAUGACUCAUUCGGCGCCUUACGGGAAACCAAAGUGUUUGGGUUC